CACCAAUCAAGCCCGGCUUGGUAUUGGGUCACGGGGACGACCCUGACCUCAAUGUCUCACGGCUGGAACACCCCGAACUCAGCGUUGUGGAAUCAAAUUCGCUUUGGGAAAGGGCGGUCCAUCGCCGUUAAACAUCUCCAUAUCUAAA
rnacentral:misc_RNA from 1 species